GAUGAAGAACGUAGCGAAAUGCGAUACGUAAUGUGAAUUGCAAAUUCAGUGAAUCAUCGAGUCUUUGAACGCACAUUGCGCCCCCUGGUAUUCCGGGGGGCAUGCCUGUCCGAGCGUCAUUGCUGCCCUCAAGCACGGCUUGUGUGUUGGGCCCCGUCCUCCGAUCCCGGGGGACGGGCCCGAAAGGCAGCGGCGGCACCGCGUCCGGUCCUCGAGCGUAUGGGGCUUUGUCACCCGCUCUGUAGGCCCGGCCGGCGCUUGCCGAUCAACCCAAAUUUUUUAUCCAGGUUGACCUCGGAUCAGGUAGGGAUACCCGCUGAACUUAAGCAUAUCAAUAAGCAGGA
rnacentral:misc_RNA from 1 species